rnacentral:rRNA from 1 species
UACAGAGGGGGCAAGCGUUAUUCGGAAUUAUUGGGCGUAAAGGGCGCGUAGGCGGCGAUUCAAGUGACGGGUGAAAUCCCUCGGCUUAACCGAGGAACUGCCUGUCAGACUGGAUUGCUUGAGGCCGGGAGAGGCGAGUGGAAUUCCCAGUGUAGCGGUGAAAUGCGCAGAUAUCAGGAGGAACACCAAUGGCGAAGGCAGCUCGCUGGGACGUGACUGACGCUGAGACGCGAAAGCGUGGGGAGCAAACAGG